rnacentral:rRNA from 1 species
UACAGAGGGGGCAAGCGUUGUUCGGAAUUACUGGGCGUAAAGGGCGCGUAGGCGCCUUCUAAGUCGAACGUGAAAUCCCCGGGCUCAACCCGGGAACUGCGUCCGAUACUGGAAGGCUUGAAUCCGGGAGAGGGAUGUGGAAUUCCAGGUGUAGCGGUGAAAUGCGUAGAUAUCUGGAGGAACACCGGUGGCGAAGGCGACAUCCUGGACCGGUAUUGACGCUGAGGCGCGAAAGCCAGGGGAGCAAACGGGAUUAGAU